GCUUUGGCAGCUAAGAGAAGCCGUCCUAGGCCAAGCGCGCGCCCCGCGUUUGUCCCCAGUGGUUACUAUUUCUGAAGCAUUGUGUUGACUGACGACUAAAAAGUCAAGAGAUGACCUGGCUCAUCAGUGGUUUGAGAAUGAUGUCCUUGCUGAGGCUUUCAAAGAAAUUAAGGAUCGAGAAUUUGAGACACAUCCCAUUGGGGCUGUAUUGCAGUGAUUCAUCGUGUCUCCUUAGGCUCCUCUGCACUGUGAGUGUCUCAGACUUUCCUUGCUUUGGUGGUCUUGACAGGUUUGAGGAGCACUGCUCAGGUAUUUUGUAGAACAUCCCUCAGUUGGGAUUUGUCUGACAUUUUUCUCAUUAUUAGACUGAGGUUUCAUGUUUUGGGGGAGGAAGGUCACAGAGGUAAAGUGGCCGUCUCAUCACAUCGUAUCAAAGGUACAUGGUACCAACACGACUCAUCACUGUUGAUACUGACCUUGAUCACUUGGUCACCUUGAUGUUGGA